rnacentral:rRNA from 1 species
UACGUAGGGGGCAAGCGUUAUCCGGAUUUACUGGGUGUAAAGGGAGCGUAGACGGCGGCGCAAGUCUGAAGUGAAAGCCCGUGGCUCAACCGCGGAACCGCUUUGGAAACUGCGUGGCUAGAGUGCUGGAGAGGUAAGCGGAAUUCCUGGUGUAGCGGUGAAAUGCGUAGAUAUCAGGAGGAACACCAGUGGCGAAGGCGGCUUACUGGACUGUAACUGACGUUGAGGCCCGAAAGCGUGGGGAGCAAACAGG